GCCGGGCGUGGUGGCACGUGUCUGUAGUCCCAGCUACUCGGGAGGCUGAGGUGGGAGGAUCGCUUGAGCCCAGUGGGCUGCAGUGUGCUAUGCUGAUCGGGUGUCCACACUAAGUUCAGCAUCAAUAUGGUGACCUCCCAGGAGCAGGGGACCACCAGGUUGCCAAAGGAGGGAUGAACCAGCCCAGGUCGGAAAUGGAGCAGGUCAAAACUCCCGUGCUGAUCAGUAGUGGGAUCGUGCCUGUGAAUAGCCACUGCACUCCAGCCUGGGCAACGUAGUGAGACUCUGUCUCUU
rnacentral:SRP_RNA from 1 species